rnacentral:ncRNA from 1 species
UAAUAGCACCUCUAUUUUUUAAAGGGAUUAUUGAUUGUACAGAACCUUUUCCAUAACUAUUUUCUCCAAGUAUAAUAGCUCUUUUAUGAUCUUUUAAUGCACCAGCUACUAUUUCUGAUGCCGAUGCUGAUCCAUAGUUAAUAAGUAUAAUUAGUGUUUUACCAUUUGUUAGAUCACCUUUUUUAGCAAACCAUUUUCGAUUUUCUGAAGCUUGUCGACUUCUUGUUGAUACAAUCUCACCAUUUUCUAAAAAAAAGUCUGAAAUUUUAAUUGCCUGAGAAAGUAAGCCACCAGGGUUAUUUCUUA